rnacentral:rRNA from 1 species
UACGGAAGGCAGCAGUGGGGAAUAUUGCACAAUGGGCGCAAGCCUGAUGCAGCCAUGCCGCGUGUAUGAAAAAGGCCUUCGGGUUGUAAAGUACUUUCAGUCGUGAGGAAGGUGUUAAGGUUAAUAACCUUAGCAAUUGACGUUAGCGACAGAAGAAGCACCGGCUAACUCCGUGCCAGCAGCCGCGGUAAUACGGAGGGUGCGAGCGUUAAUCGGAAUUACUGGGCGUAAAGGGCACGCAGGCGGUUAAUUAAGUUGGAUGUGAAAUCCCCGGGCUUAACCUGGGAAUGGCAUUCAAGACUGGUUAGCUAGAGUCUUGUAGAGGGGGUAGAAUUCCAUGUGUAGCGGUGAAAUGCGUAGAGAUGUGGAGGAAUACCGGUGGCGAAGGCGGCCCCUGGACAAAGACUGACGCUCAUGUGCGAAAGCGUGGGGAGCAAACGAGGGAUUAGAUACCCGU